UACAGAGGUCCCGAGCGUUGUUCGGAUUCAUUGGGCGUAAAGGGUGCGUAGGCGGUGGGGUAAGUCGGAUGUGAAAUCUCAGGGCUCAACCCUGAAACUGCAUUCGAUACUGCGUGGCUAGAGUGCUGGAGGGGAGACUGGAAUUUACGGUGUAGCAGUGAAAUGCGUAGAUAUCGUAAGGAAGACCAGUGGCGAAGGCGAGUCUCUGGACAGCAACUGACGCUGAGGCACGAAGGCCAGGGGAGCAAACGGG
rnacentral:rRNA from 1 species